GUGCUCGUUUCAGCAGCACAUAUACUGAAAUUGGAACGAUGCAGAGAAGAUUAGUGUGGCCCGUGCAAAAGGAUGGCAUGCAAAGUUGUGAAGCAUUUCAUAUUUUU